rnacentral:rRNA from 1 species
GAUGAACGCUGGCGGCGUGCCUAUACAUGCAAGUCGAGCGAACGGACGAGAAGCUUGCUUCUCUGAUGUUAGCGGCGGACGGGUGAGUAACACGUGGAUAACCUACCUAUAAGACUGGGAUAACUUCGGGAAACCGGAGCUAAUACCGGAUAAUAUUUUGAACCGCAUGGUUCAAAAGUGAAAGACGGUCUUGCUGUCACUUAUAGAUGGAUCCGCGCUGCAUUAGCUAGUUGGUAAGGUAACGGCUUACCAAGGCAACGACGCAUAGCCGACCUGAGAGGGUGAUCGGCCACACUGGAACUGAGACACGGUCCAGACUCCUACGGGAGGCAGCAGUAGGGAAUCUUCCGCAAUGGGCGAAAGCCUGACGGAGCAACGCCGCGUGAGUGAUGAAGGUCUUCGGAUCGUAAAACUCUGUUAUUAGGGAAGAACAUAUGUGUAAGUAACUGUGCACAUCUUGACGGUACCUAAUCAGAAAGCCACGGCUAACUACGUG